GAUGGGCUGUGAAGAUCAAAAACAGCUUCAAAUGCCAGUUCUGCUUCAGAGAAUUCAUGAUUGAGGAAGCUGAAGAAUGCUGAGCCUUGU
rnacentral:snoRNA from 1 species